rnacentral:rRNA from 1 species
GAUGAACGCUGGCGGCGUGCCUAAUACAUGCAAGUCGAGCGAACGGACGAGAAGCUUGCUUUUCUGAUGUUAGCGGCGGACGGGUGAGUAACACGUGGAUAACCUACCUAUAAGACUGGGAUAACUUCGGGAAACCAGAGCUAAUACCGGAUAAUAUUUUGAACCGCAUGGUUCAAAAGUGAAAGACGGUCUUGCUGUCACUUAUAGAUGGAUCCGCGCUGCAUUAGCUAGUUGGUAAGGUAACGGCUUACCAAGGCAACGAUGCAUAGCCGACCUGAGAGGGUGAUCGGCCACACUGGAACUGAGACACGGUCCAGACUCCUACGGGAGGCAGCAGUAGGGAAUCUUCCGCAAUGGGCGAAAGCCUGACGGAGCAACGCCGCGUGAGUGAUGAAGGUCUUCGGAUCGUAAAACUCUGUUAUUAGGGAAGAACAUAUGUGUAAGUAACUGUGCACAUCUUGACGGUACCUAAUCAGAAAGCCACGGCUAACUACGUGCCAGCAGCCGCGGUAAUACGUAGGUGGCAAGCGUUAUCCGGAAUUAUUGGGCGUAAAGCGCGCGUAGGCGGUUUUUUAAGUCUGAUGUGAAAGCCCACGGCUCAACCGUGGAGGGUCAUUGGAAACUGGAAAACUUGAGUGCAGAAGAGGAAAGUGGAAUUCCAUGUGUAGCGGUGAAAUGCGCAGAGAUGUGGAGGAACACCAGUGGCGAAGGCGACUUUCUGGUCUGUAACUGACGCUGAUGUGCGAAAGCGUGGGGAUCAAACAGGAUUAGAUACCCUGGUAGUCCACGCCGUAAACGAUGAGUGCUAAGUGUUAGGGGGUUUCCGCCCCUUAGUGCUGCAGCUAACGCAUUAAGCACUCCGCCUGGGGAGUACGACCGCAAGGUUGAAACUCAAAGGAAUUGACGGGGGCCCGCACAAGCGGUGGAGCAUGUGGUUUAAUUCGAAGCAACGCGAAGAACCUUACCAAAUCUUGACAUCCUUUGACAACUCUAGAGAUAGAGCCUUCCCCUUCGGGGGACAAAGUGACAGGUGGUGCAUGGUUGUCGUCAGCUCGUGUCGUGAGAUGUUGGGUUAAGUCCCGCAACGAGCGCAACCCUUAAGCUUAGUUGCCAUCAUUAAGUUGGGCACUCUAAGUUGACUGCCGGUGACAAACCGGAGGAAGGUGGGGAUGACGUCAAAUCAUCAUGCCCCUUAUGAUUUGGGCUACACACGUGCUACAAUGGACAAUACAAAGGGCAGCGAAACCGCGAGGUCAAGCAAAUCCCAUAAAGUUGUUCUCAGUUCGGAUUGUAGUCUGCAACUCGACUACAUGAAGCUGGAAUCGCUAGUAAUCGUAGAUCAGCAUGCUACGGUGAAUACGUUCCCGGGUCU